UUGAUACUCCCUCCGUCUGGAAAUAGUUGUCAUUAAAAUGAAUAAAAGAGGAUGUAUCUAGAUGUAUUUUAGUUAUAGAAACAUCCCCUUUUAUCCAUUUUGAUGACAAGUAUUUUUCGACGGAGGGAGUACUUG
rfam:Triticum aestivum genome assembly, contig: Triticum_aestivum_CS42_TGACv1_scaffold_579477_7BL